GGCCCCUCUGGCCAAAAUAAUCAGAUAUGCAUAAAUAUCUUUCUGUAUUCACAUUUGUAUCUUGAACAUUUGAUCAAAUCACAUUACUGCAUAUAAUCCACAAUCAGGGGUUUAGUUUCACAGCCUCCAAACUCCAGCUGCAGUUUUUAUAACUAAACCAGGACAUGGACUCAGGUGACUCUCUACACCUAUUUAAGUAUGUUGAUAUUGUGCAUUCAUGUGCUUCAAAUCACCUUUUAGAGGAAAAGUCACACUCAUGCAAAAAGCAUACAGGUGCUUUUAUAUACCUGUGUGCUUGAGACCAGGUGUUGCAUCUGCACAGGGUGCCAGACAGAACAGAGCACAGGUAGGCUGAGCAGGUAAUGAUCUCCUCAGAUGUAGUGCACGCAACGGCUUAAAAACCACCCCGUAAAUGUCAGUUGAGAGGCUAACCACGCUAGGUGUAGUUUUUUAUGCAACACACUGAUCUGCUGUCUGUCUCAUGGACAUUUUAUUUACUAUACUUUUUCCAUGUGUGCGUAGGGUUGUGUGGGUGUUUGUUUUCUUUUUGUGUUUACUUGUGCAUUUGUGUGUGAUUGUAGGCAUUGGUCUGACAGAGUCCCUGGCCAUGACACCUGCCGCCUCUGUGUCGGGACUUUACUUCUCCAACCCUCAGGCUUCAUACUUUGCUGUUGGAAAGAUCACCAAGGAGCAGGUGGAGGACUAUGCCAGCAGGAAAGAGAUGAAUGUGGAGGAGGUGGAGAGAUGGCUCGCUCCCAUCCUGGGUUAUGACAAUGAAGUGUAAGCUGCAACAGAGGAUCCAGUUUACAGUCCAACCAUUCCACUUUGGCUCCCAUGAGUUGUUGCUGUAACUGCUGUCACUCCCUCUCACUGACAUCCCUGUACAAAGACAGGGCCUCAGACUUUUCUAUUACAAUAAACACUACAGGAAAACA